CAGUAGUGUCACCUAACUCAUGAAAGGACUGUCACUAUGCCUAGGUGUGCGAAUAGACUGCUGAAAAACUAGGGGCCUUCGAAUAACUUCGAUGGGAAGUUUUACGAGUCUCUACUAGAGAUUCUAGAUCUACGCUACAGUCCGACGUACUACGGUACAGUCACUCACUAGAUUAACUUAUAUUCUACAGUGACUACAAAGAUAAGGGAUAACCCGGCCUAGGAAGAGAUCUACCUAUUGAUCACCUAGAUAUCUACAAUCUGACUCUAAAAUCUACAAUGGCUUCAAUGAGUAAGAAUAAGAAAGUUUAUAUACACCAUGAUCCUGAACUUAUCAAAGAUGACGUAUACGAGAUAAAAACCAAAAAAAUGUCAAUAAAACAAGCGGCAAAGCACGUCAGACUACUAUUGAGUACGUUAUGUAAUGAAAAGAGAGAUAAGCGCCCCGUUGUUUAUACCAAUAGAACAUUGAACCAAGCUGAGAAAAAUAGACUAGCACAGUGGCGCAUUAACUUGAGAAAACAUGGAUUUGGAAAUUCAUACAAAGAAAUUGUUGAAAUUGUACCGGAUAUAUUGGCCGCCAAAAAUUUUUCACAUAGUCCAGAAACCAUUAUAAAGAAACCAAGCAGACAGUGGUUGUCAGGAUUUUACAGACAACACCCUGAAUUUUCAAUAAGAACCUCCAAAGCUUGUGGCAUGGAAACAGUUGUUUCCUCUACCUCUAAGAAAUUUAAAAAGUGGUUUUCGAAUUUCAUUAAAUGUAUGAACCAAAGUGAUCCUACCAUUUUAAGUAGUUCUAACAGAAAAUUUAUUCCUGAUGAGCGUGGUUUUUCUUUUGACCCUGAAAGCCGAGAGGUUGUUGUGAACAAACGCAGCACACAUGUGACUUCAAAUACUAUGACAUUAGCAACUGUUCUAGCAUGCCUCUGUGACGCAGCGCGAUACACUGCCCCUUUAUUGAUUUACCCCUGCAAGCGAAACCCUCGACAAAAUCUUCUAGAAGACUUCCCUGAGGCGCUGUUGCAGGUUUCCAGCGAUGGUAGGAUUACUUCUGGUAUUUUUUUUGCCUGAAAAUAGGGACACCUGUAUUCCAUCCACUAGCAAUCUCGCAAAGCCCAUCCCAGCCAUAGCUCAUUUAGAAACAGAAAAUAACAUAAACUUGUACUGCUACCUGCCACAAGGUAGUCACCUCAUGCAAUCUCUUGACCAAACAUUUUUUUUGGAUCUUAUAAGUCAUCUUUUUACAACUCGAUCAAAGAACUUGUUGCCACUUGUGGGGAAGGUGUCAACUUAGACUCGUUUGCAGGAUUCUUGAAGCCUGUGUGGAACAAAUUAACUACCACAGAGCUAGCCUCAAACUGCUUCAGUGCAGUAGGGAUAUAUCCUCUGGAUCCCUGUAAAAUAAUGACAUCAAACAAAGCCCAAGCAGUGUUUACAGCCCAGUUAAUACCACUCUACCUGAUGAAGAUAAUUUGACUUCACAAUAUCAACUUGAGACCACAGCUCCACUUUCAAUAUCACACCACCAUAUCCUCCUGAAACCUCUCUAUCCUCUAUACCACAUGAUUUCUUUAAGUGCCCUAAGUUACCUGAGACUUCUACAUCUGCAGUUAUUUCUCAGGCCUCCAUGUCUAGUGCAGCAUUUUCACUAGAUGCCGUUGCAUCUUACUCAGUAUCUCUAAAAACCAUUCAAUUAGAUGUCUCCACAUCAUACUUAGCGGCCACAUCAUCUGGGCCCUCUACAUUUCAGGUUCUACCUGAAAUUCCUUCCUCAACAUUACCUCAAUCCCCACCAGAGACUCCUAGCUCCACCUCUAUAAACUUAAAUAGGCAACAACUUAAUGCACUGAAAGAAAAUUCCUUGUUUAUUUGCGACAAAAAUUCCCAGAGAUGAGCUUAUUAUGUUACAUACCAGACUAGUCAGACUUCAAGAACAGAGUUUUUACGAUCCAUAACUUGAGAGAAAGAAUUUAAAAGUGUGGUCCAAUCACUAGUCAACGUUUUUAAAGUAAAUGAAGAGCCACCGCUUAAAGUCACUCUGACACAAGGUGACAUUUUAAAGUUGCUUCCAAUCACAGGCAAGAAGAGGAAAAAAAGAAACAGAAUCACACCAACUUUACUAAGUCUCUUUUAGCGGCAAAGAAUUCGGGAGUGCAUCAGAUAAAAAAAUGUGAAGAAAAUGAAUCUGACAAGAGGAAGGUUGCCGAAGAAAUAUUGUGAAGGAAAGAAAGUGAAAAAAAUAAUGCAAAUGCAUGUAUGCAUGUUAAUAAAAGAAAUGGAAAACAUCAAAAACCAUAAACAUAAAUAAGAACAUAAUGGAAAG